ACAAGCAAUCCAAUAUAGGUUAAACAUGUGCAAUUCUUCUAAACAUAGUCCCAUAUCUGUCAGACUGGGCAAGAAAUAUCAGGUCAAAAGGGCAAAAAACACCAGGAAGAAAAAAAUAAGCAAACAACAACAAAAAGAUAUUGAUCCAUAUUCAGUCUCCAUAGUUUUCUCUCUGAAUGCAGAUAGCUCUCUCCAUCACAAGUCUAUUAGAAUUGCCUUGAAUCACCUCAUUGUUUAAAAGAACCAAGUCCGUCACAUUUGAUCGUCACAUGAUCUUCUUGUUCCUGUGUACAAUGUUCUCUUGGUUCCAGUAGAGAAGUUCUAAAGAAGACUUCAGGAAGGAGGUACACUUGAAUGAUAGGUAGGGUUUUAGCAAAACAUGGCAGUGUGAGGAGGGAAGACAACCCAGAUGGAAAGAACAGUUUGAACAAAGCACAGAGUGUAUUUGGAACAGAAAUUAGUCUCGUUUGGUUGGAACACAAGGACCAAGCAGAAAAGAUCAUCUCUCUCACAUAACAGCUUUAUAAAACUUUACAAUCAUAGAUUGAUAAAGCUGCAAAUGACACGAUGUCAUCUAGGCCAACCCCUUUACUUUCCAGGUAAGAAAAAUGAGAUGUAGAAAUGUUAACUGAUUCCCAGGGUCUCAUAGGUUUUGAGUGACAGAGCUGAGAUUCAAAUGCAAAUCCUUUGACCCCACAACCAAUAAUCCUUUCAUUAUAAAGACUAUCUUUUGAAAAUAAUUUUCAUUGCUCUCCCUAAGUCUUUUCCCCAGGUCAAAAAUCCUUAAUUCCUUAAAUUUAUUAUUGUUUCAUUUCUUAUAGUAUUUUGACCACUGGAUUUGCUCAAGUUGGUUAAUGUCCUUGCUAAAAUGGAAAGCUCAGAACCAAACGCAAUAACCCAGAGGUGGACCAAGAUGAAGUACAAAGAUAUACUAUUACAUCCCUUAUUGUGCAAAUCACACUUCUAUUAAAGCAGUCCACAAUUACAUUAAAUUUCUGAAGACCAUGCCAUAAUUUAUUCAUAUUGAGUUUGUAGUUCCCUAUGACUUUUAAUAUCUUUUUCAGGUGAACUGUUUUCUAGCUGUACUUACCCCAUCCUCUAUUUGUAUAGUGGACUCUUUGAAUUGCCUUCUACAUAGUAGAUCCUUAGAAUCCUUGAUUGAUUGGCAAGAAUGGUGUUAUGAAAAAUGGAAAACUCUACACUACUAAUAAAGAUUACCCUAACAUUUACAGCAAUUAAGUCUAAUUGUAUGAAUGGACUGAGUAUUGUGGAAAACAUCUUCUAGAAGAAACCAUCAUAGAAAAAGGAUUGAUUAUCUCUAGGCCUUCUUCAGUGCUAUUGAGAGUGAUAGAAUUCUUAGAUUCUACAUAGAAUUCUUGCCAAGAAAAAUUGAACUUUGAGGCAAGUACACUUUUCAAACACAUAAUCUCUAUGCAUAGCCCCCUUCUCUUUGGAUGUCAUUAAAAUUGUUUCUUGUUUUGGUACAUAAGAGAUAUUUGCUUCAUAUGGACUAGCUUUUUGUACAAGGAACUUGGAAUCCUUUGAAUGUGAGGUGACCUUGAAACUAUUAUGAGUGUGUAUUCAAAACCCGCCUAUGGAAUGUCAGUUAUUCUCCUUAAACUAGCUCUAAUGUAAUUGUAUCAAGCAAUCAAGAAAAAGAAGGUGGCCCUGGGAAACUAAAGAACUCAUAACCUUAGUCCUCCUUUACAGCUGGAUCAAGACUUCUUUAUUAAAACCAUUUCUCAAAUUCAAGGGGUGAAGAAGGGCAGCUGUUUGGCUAUGAUUCUUCUCAAGAAGAAAUCUGGAUGUGAAACAAAGCAAGACCUCAAGAGCUGAUGAAAAAAUGCUGGGCACACAGCGCUGCUGUCUGGUUGCCAUGGUGACCACAGCCUAUUAUCCCGCCUUGUCAUUCAUCAAGAAAGAAUUGCACUUGACAGAGAGAGAGGAGAAUGCCUGCAGUCUGCAGCAAAAGGGGGGGGGGGGGAAUGGUGGCGGUAGUGGUGCUGGUUUUCUUUUCUUCUGAGUAUGUAAAAGGUCUUUAAUGCCCGUUUCGUUACAUGUUUUAUUGAACAUUAUUUAUUACUUGUAACGGCAAUAAUUGAUACCUGUUUAAAAAAAAAAAAAAACACCCCCUUCCUCCGAAGUGUUUAAUUUGCAAUUUGCUUGUUUGUCUUGCUUCCCCAUUUUCAAUCACCCCCUACUUCCACCUUAGUGAGAGGAACAGCUAAAUGGUCACAUUCUCCAAAGAGAGUGACCAUUGUCCAGGUGCCUCAAAAAGCAAGCCAACCCGACCCCCCUUAAUUGUGCCCUGUAGUCAUCAGCUUCUGAUGUCCUCGUUUAGAAAGAUAAUUAGUGCACUAUGGCCAAAAAAAAUUGAGCAUAACCUUUGACCAGAGUGGAUCCUCCAAGUGUGCAAUGCCUGUGGACUAAAAUAUCAAAAAAGGAGGGUUUCUGCAAUCCCCCCCCCAAAAAAUGGAGGUCUUUCCAGGAGAGGGUAGAAUAUAAAACCAGUAAUUGCUCUUUACAAAGUUGGAUCCCAACCAAACUCAUUCUUCAAAGGCAGGAAAAGGUAAUUACUUGUUAUUUGGCCAUUCCUCAUCUUUGCCAUCUGAAUUAACCCAAAUUAAUUCUGAAAAUAUGUGGGCUAAUACCUUUUGUAAAUGAAUACAUUUGUAGGUUUAAACACCUUGUUUUAUUCUUUUACACCCCCUCCCUUCCUUUCUUAUUAUUAAGAAUUUGGGAUUAUUUCCCAGUUAAUUGUUGAGUUGUUAAACUAUCUGUAUCUGGUUGGAUCAUUGUAAAAGUCUGUGCUCUACAGAGCUGCCUGGUACCAGCUGAUUUCCUUGUUAAAAGGGAGACUAUAUAGUAAAAGAGACUUUAUGGGCUGGGUGGGAUUUUAAAUUGAGGUCCUCUUAGCUUAGUUUUUAAAUCUGUCUAAUCUUUUGUCCUGGAGAUCACAGGGAAAUAGUAGCUAGCACAGAUGUACCUGAAUUGCUUAGAUACCAGAUUUUAAUGUGACUGGUACUUGUUUUAAAGGGCCAUCUACAUGGAGCUUGAUUGAACAUCAAGGAUUGAGGUGUAAGGAACUUGUGAAGAUCAAGUUCUCUUCACUCUAAAGACAACCUUUCAACUGAAGCUUUGGGACAAUGAGAGCACAUGAAUGCAGCUGCUGCAGAGAAAGAGGAUGUUCAACAAUUUCCUAGUGAUUGUGGGCAGUGAAUCAGUUCAGGAUCUAAACCCUGUCCUAUAGCCUCAGAUUCCUGGAUAACUGGGUCAAAGACAUUCAUGUGAUGAUAGUGAUGAUCAGUGGAUGUUACCCACAUUACCCAAAUGAUUAUAGCAGUAGUGACCUGGGGUAGAGAGGAGGAACCUGCAUGAACCUUUAAUUCAAUUCAAUAAACAUUUAUAAAAUGCCUAUUCUAUACAAGUAACUGCUAGUUAUUGAAAAUAUAAAGACAAAACCCAAAACAAAAUAACAAAAAAUGUCUGCCUUCAAGAACUGUAUAUGCUUCUUUAUCAUUUCUGAACUCUGGCUAUAUCCACACAUAUUUAUAUUCCAAUCAGAGAGCAGAAGCUCAAAAUAUCUACCCGCAUCCUUGCCAAGCAAAUUGGGAAACCUAAGAUUGUUUUCUCUUAUUCUUGACAUUUGGGAGAGAGAGGGAAAAAAAGAAAGAAAGAAAAAGAAAAGAAAAGGAUAAAAUAAAGCAGAAGUGUUAUGUUUAGAACUCUUGCCACUUCCCCUCAUUGCUCAACUUUUGCUUUAAUAUUGCCGCAACACCACUGUUCAUUUCCUGUUCAACUCCAAUUCUACCUUUUGAUUUUCAAAUCUCCCUUAGGCUAAUGGUUUCAGUGAAGAAUGAAAUGAACAGGCAGAAACAAUUAAGUGAGCAGAUACAGUGAAAACCAACACCACUGCACUUUCACAGAAAUAGAAGUGUACGAAGGAAUUCUGUUUUGGUUUUUAUCUUCCUGCAAUGUCAUAGUUAGGCUUAUUAUUAUUUGUCUUUCACCUCUCAAUACUUCCUUAUUUAUACCUUUAUCCAUACCAAAUGCAUUGCCCCCAACCACUUCAUUUAACCCCACCACCACCACCUUACUUAAAGGGAAGAGACAUUUAUCACCCCUGCUCUACCUAAAAAACAAACAAACAAAAUAUAGACAUUGAAAAUAUUUUCUCUGUAUUUUGUUUUACUGGGUAAUAUCUCAGAAUAAAAUCCAACUAAAUAUUCUUAAUUGCAAAUGUUUCCCAAAUCCUGUUAAAUGCUCACAUAUGUCUUUAUGAAAAUUGGAAUAUGGACUGUUUAUAUACUCUUGAUUGUGGUCAUGAAUAUAAUUAAGAAAGGAUCAAGUCAGUUUAAGGACUGAAGCAUCUAAAAUCUAAUUGGCAUGUUAUGCAUAAGGAAUAGAUUUAAUUUUGUUCCUAAGUAGCUUUUUCUCUUUUCAUACAUAGGCAUAUAAAUAGUCAAAAGGUGGAAUAGUAAUGUAUCUUGAUAAUUUUUAUUAAAAAUUAUCAAAGAAAGAAUCAACUCUACCCCCAACAAGUAUGCUGUCAGCCUUUUUAAGAAGGAAAAAACCUCUUUGUUAGCAGUUACCGUAACAUUUCACAUGGCAAGAAGUUGGCCUUCUUAGUUUUGGUUCUCCUUUGUUAAAUUAGAAAUUAUUCUCUUACUCAAUUCCAUGAGAAACUGGGCACAAAAUACCAAAGGAAAAGCAUGAAAAUGAGACACCAUGGUGACUAUCAGUCGCCAUUUUAAAUGUCAUUGUGCUAUCGUUUGGCAUGAGCUCACAAAAGCCACUUUCCAAGCCCUGUUGGCAGGGAGUCUAUUUUUCAAGUCAUUCUUCAUUUCAAAAGACAGUACAAAUUAGAGAUGUGCUUUAUAAGGACCAGAAUUCAUGAAACCUCGGCCUGAAACAACUCGUGGCCAUCCAUUGCGAGGUGACACAACAGCUCAGUAAUGAAUCUGGAGAGGUAGGGGUGCUUCCACGAGGUUUUGCUGAGCCGAAGGCAUAAAGAACUUUUAUUGAAUACAUCCUUUAGUAUUUACCCAAUAAAACACCUCUUGUAAACCAAGGACUUUGUAUUUUUUGUUGUUGUUGUUGGGGGAGGUUGUUUGUUUGUUUUAAUACCGGUAUAAUGGUUUACUCUGCAAUAGUGAGGAUUUGAAGACAGCUGCUAGUAAACAUAAAAUGAGCUAUAUAAUGGUAUUACAAUGGAUUUUUUUAUUUGAGAUUCCAGGAUGGGGCAGAUUUGUUACCCUAGCAAAUGUCUGGUUACAUAGAAAUUGUCUUCACAUAAUUGGAAUGUUUCCCUUAGAAGAAAAAAAAGGCAAUUCAUUUUUUGUUAAAACCGCAGCACACUUCCUUUCCUUUGUUAUUUAUGAAAAAUACACAUAUAUUAUGUCUAGACAUAAGCAUUUUCAGGGAAUGUGGU